rnacentral:sRNA from 1 species
UGCCUAACCCUCAUAGAUUCAUUACGAGAUAUGGCAUAAAAACUGUUCAGGCUAUUAAGCUCGUCGUCAGAGCACCUGAACAGUCAUACCCCGAAAGGGGUAUGGGUAGUCCGCAAGGAUUAUC